rnacentral:rRNA from 1 species
UACGUAGGGGGCGAGCGUUAUCCGGAAUUAUUGGGCGUAAAGAGUACGUAGGCGGUUCUGUAAGCGUGAGGUGAAAGCCCGGGGCUUAACUCCGGUAAGCCUUUCGAACUGCAGGACUUGAGUGCUGGAGGGGAAAGUGGAAUUCCUAGUGUAGCGGUGAAAUGCGUAGAUAUUAGGAGGAACACCAGUGGCGAAGGCGACUUUCUGGACAGUAACUGACGCUGAGGUACGAAAGCGUGGGGAGC